UGUGUGUGCCGUCACCUGAGGGAGGACCUAAUGUAUAAAUACAGGCAUGAAAACAUCGUUUUCACAGUGAGGAGCAAGACAAGACACGAGUUUUUUUCUGUGCUGACACAUCUGAUCUCUCAGUAUGAGCUGUGAACAGGGUAGGUGAUGUUUGACUGUAAAGAUAUUUUUAUUCAAUGUAUAUAUUAUAUUUAUUGUGUCUACCAUUUACAACCAAUUCAAUUGAUUUUCUUUUCAUUUCUUGAUAUCUUCUACAGAACACCAAAAGGUAAAAUUCACAAAAGAUCACAAAAAGACAUAUGAAUGAAUACGUGCAGAUUAAAUAAAUGACAUUUAAAUAUGUCCUAAAUUAAAACGAGCAUUGAAACAGGACAAUAAUUCUUUUGAUUUACUGAUUUGUAAACAGCCCUGCACCCAAGACGAUUCUGACUCUGGAUCAGAGUGCUCCGGAGAUGAAGGAGUAAAGGGGAAGAAGGGAAAGGGCAAGGGUCAAGGAAAAGGAAAGGGAAAGGGUCAAGAGCACGGACAUGGACACGGCCACGGAGGUCAAGGUCAAUGUGGCAAAAGUGACCAACAUAAAAAAAAAUGAUGGAGUCUGAGCUGAUGACGGAGGAGGAGAAGAUUCUGUCCAAUCCUGCACUGAGCGACGCUGGGCUUCAGCAAUGACAUUAAAACAACCUUAAAAUAAUGAAACUGUGUCUGUGUUUAACUAAUGAUUGUUAUUAUUCAAUAAACUGACAUCAAACACA